UGGCGCACGGGUGCGUAACGCGUGGGAAUCUGCCCUUGGGUUCGGGAUAACAGUUGGAAACGACUGCUAAUACCGGAUGAUGACUUCGGUCCAAAGAUUUAUCGCCCAGGGAUGAGCCCGCGUAGGAUUAGCUAGUUGGUGAGGUAAGAGCUCACCAAGGCGACGAUCCUUAGCUGGUCUGAGAGGAUGAUCAGCCACACUGGGACUGAGACACGGCCCAG
rnacentral:rRNA from 1 species